UUGUUCUGUGAACAUUCAGCAAAGCACAGAUGAUGUGAUGUUGCAGUUCUGUGGGAAUAUGUUGAUUUAACUUAAUUGAGGCUUUCCCGGAAGUGGAACCAACCAGCCAACCAACCAAUCCCCCCAAAAGGACAAAGGAAAGGAUGACUUAAGAUAAGAUUCUGACUUCUCAGGUCUUGGCAGAAGGGUCUGUGCUAUCACAUCGGAGUACACCUUUAGGACCUACUUUCACAUGUUUAAUCAUUUCAUUUUGUGCAAACUGACUUUCUC
rnacentral:lncRNA from 1 species